rnacentral:rRNA from 1 species
AGUCGAGGGGCAGCAUUUCAGUUUGCUUGCAAACUGGAGAUGGCGACCGGCGCACGGGUGAGUAACACGUAUCCAACCUGCCGAUAACUCGGGGAUAGCCUUUCGAAAGAAAGAUUAAUACCCGAUGGUAUAAUCAGACCGCAUGGUCUUAUUAUUAAAGAAUUUCGGUUAUCGAUGGGGAUGCGUUCCAUUAGGCAGUUGGUGAGGUAACGGCUCACCAAACCUUCGAUGGAUAGGGGUUCUGAGAGGAAGGUCCCCCACAUUGGAACUGAGACACGGUCCAAACUCCUACGGGAGGCAGCAGUGAGGAAUAUUGGUCAAUGGGCGCAGGCCUGAACCAGCCAAGUAGCGUGAAGGAUGACUGCCCUAUGGGUUGUAAACUUCUUUUAUAUGGGAAUAAAGUUUUCCACGUGUGGAAUUUUGUAUGUACCAUAUGAAUAAGGAUCGGCUAACUCCGUGCCAGCAGCCGCGGUAAUACGGAGGAUCCGAGCGUUAUCCGGAUUUAUUGGGUUUAAAGGGAGCGUAGGUGGACAGUUAAGUCAGUUGUGAAAGUUUGCGGCUCAACCGUAAAAUUGCAGUUGAUACUGGCUGUCUUGAGUACAGUAGAGGUGGGCGGAAUUCGUGGUGUAGCGGUGAAAUGCUUAGAUAUCACGAAGAACUCCGAUUGCGAAGGCAGCUCACUGGACUGCAACUGACACUGAUGCUCGAAAGUGUGGGUAUCAAACAGGAUUAGAUACCCUGGUAGUCCACACAGUAAACGAUGAAUACUCGCUGUUUGCGAUAUACAGUAAGCGGCCAAGCGAAAGCAUUAAGUAUUCCACCUGGGGAGUACGCCGGCAACGGUGAAACUCAAAGGAAUUGACGGGGGCCCGCACAAGCGGAGGAACAUGUGGUUUAAUUCGAUGAUACGCGAGGAACCUUACCCGGGCUUAAAUUGCAUUUGAAUAAUUUGGAAACAGGUUAGCCGCAAGGCAAAUGUGAAGGUGCUGCAUGGUUGUCGUCAGCUCGUGCCGUGAGGUGUCGGCUUAAGUGCCAUAACGAGCGCAACCCUUAUCUUUAGUUACUAACAGGUCAUGCUGAGGACUCUAGAGAGACUGCCGUCGUAAGAUGUGAGGAAGGUGGGGAUGACGUCAAAUCAGCACGGCCCUUACGUCCGGGGCUACACACGUGUUACAAUGGGGGGUACAGAAGGCAGCUACCUGGUGACAGGAUGCUAAUCCCAAAAGCCUCUCUCAGUUCGGAUCGAAGUCUGCAACCCGACUUCGUGAAGCUGGAUUCGCUAGUAAUCGCGCAUCAGCCAUGGCGCGGUGAAUACGUUCCCGGGCCUUGUACACACCGCCCGUCAAGCCAUGAAAGCCGGGGGUACCUGAAGUACGUAACCGCAAGGAG